rnacentral:rRNA from 1 species
AUUGAACGCCUGGCGGUAUGCUUAACACAUGCAAGUCGAACGGAAACGAUACUAGCUUGCUAGUAGGCGUCGAGUGGCGGACGGGUGAGUAACGCGUAGGAAUCUGCCUGAUAGUGGGGGAAUAGCCCGGAGAAAUUCGGAUUAAUACCGCAUAAUCUAUUCGUAGUAAAGUGGGGGACUUUCGAGCCUCACGCUAUCAGAUGAGCCUGCGUAAGAUUAGCUUGUUGGUAGGGUAAAAGCCUACCAAGGCGACGAUCUUUAGCUGGUCUGAGAGGAUGAUCAGCCACAUCGGGACUGAGACACGGCCCGAACUCCUACGGGAGGCAGCAGUGGGGAAUAUUGGACAAUGGGGGCAACCCUGAUCCAGCAAUACCGCGUGUGUGAAGAAGGCCUGAGGGUUGUAAAGCACUUUCAAUUGUGAAGAAAAGUUAACGGUUAAUAACCGUUAGCCUUGACGUUAACUUUAGAAGAAGCACCGGCUAACUCCGUGCCAGCAGCCGCGGUAAUACGGAGGGUGCAAGCGUUAAUCGGAAUUACUGGGCGUAAAGCGUGCGUAGGCGGUUUAUUAAGUCAGAUGUGAAAGCCCCGGGCUUAACCUGGGAACUGCAUUUGAAACUGGUAAACUAGAGUAUGGUAGAGGAAAGUGGAAUUUCUGGUGUAGCGGUGAAAUGCGUAGAUAUCAGAAGGAACAUCAAUGGCGAAGGCAGCUUUCUGGACCAAUACUGACGCUGAGGUACGAAAGCGUGGGUAGCAAACAGGAUUAGAUACCCUGGUAGUCCACGCCGUAAACGAUGAUAACUAGCCGUUGGGGGGAUUUACCCUUUAGUGGCGAAGCUAACGCGUUAAGUUAUCCGCCUGGGGAGUACGGCCGCAAGGUUAAAACUCAAAGGAAUUGACGGGGACCCGCACAAGCGGUGGAGCAUGUGGUUUAAUUCGAUGCAACGCGAAGAACCUUACCUGGUCUUGACAUCCUGCGAACUUUCUAGAAAUAGAUUGGUGCCUUCGGGAACGCAGUGACAGGUGCUGCAUGGCUGUCGUCAGCUCGUGUCGUGAGAUGUUGGGUUAAGUCCCGUAACGAGCGCAACCCCUAUCCUUAUUUGCCAGCACAUUAUGGUGGGAACUAUAAGGAGACUGCCGGUGAUAAACCGGAGGAAGGCGGGGACGACGUCAAGUCAUCAUGGCCCUUACGACCAAGGCUACACACGUGCUACAAUGGGAAGGACAAAGAGCCGCGAAGCCGCGAGGUGUAGCUAAUCUCAUAAACUCUUUUCGUAGUCCGGAUUGGAGUCUGCAACUCGACUCCAUGAAGUCGGAAUCGCUAGUAAUCGUAGAAUCAGAAUGCUACGGUGAAUACGUUCCCGGGUCU